CAGUCGCCGCGGGAAAACGUAGGUGGCAAGCGUUGUCCGGAAUUAUUGGGCGUAAAGGGCUCGCAGGCGGUUUCUUAAGUCUGAUGUGAAAGCCCCCGGCUCAACCGGGGAGGGUCAUUGGAAACUGGGAAACUUGAGUGCAGAGGAGGAGAGUGGAAUUCCACGUGUAGCGGUGAAAUGCGUAGAGAUGUGGAGGAACACCAGUGGCGAAGGCGACUCUCUGGUCUGUAACUGACGCUGAGGAGCGAAAGCGUGGGGAGCGAACAGGAUUAGAUACCCCUGUAGUCCCUGUCUCUUAUAC
rnacentral:rRNA from 1 species